AACGCUAGCUACAGGCUUAACACAUGCAAGUCGCGGGGCAGCAUGGGCUUAGCUUGCUAAGUCUGAUGGCGACCGGCGCACGGGUGAGUAACGCGUAUCCAACCUACCGUUGUCCACGGGAUAGCCCGUCGAAAGGCGGAUUAAUACCGUAUGAGGUCACACGAUGGCAUCAGAAUGUGACGAAAGGUUUAGCGGACAGCGAUGGGGAUGCGUCCGAUUAGCUAGUUGGCGGGGUAACGGCCCACCAAGGCGACGAUCGGUAGGGGUUCUGAGAGGAAGGUCCCCCACAUUGGAACUGAGACACGGUCCAAACUCCUACGGGAGGCAGCAGUGAGGAAUAUUGGUCAAUGGCCGUGAGGCUGAACCAGCCAAGUAGCGUGCAGGAUGACGGCCCUAUGGGUUGUAAACUGCUUUUAUGCGGGGAUAAAGUGUACCAUGUAUGGUGUUUUGCAGGUACCGCAUGAAUAAGGACCGGCUAAUUCCGUGCCAGCAGCCGCGGUAAUACGGAAGGUCCGGGCGUUAUCCGGAUUUAUUGGGUUUAAAGGGAGCGUAGGCCGUUUUUUAAGCGUGUUGUGAAAUGCCGCGGCUCAACCGUGGCACUGCAGCGCGAACUGGAUGACUUGAGUGCGCGGGAGGUAGGCGGAAUUCGUGGUGUAGCGGUGAAAUGCUUAGAUAUCACGAAGAACUCCGAUUG
rnacentral:rRNA from 1 species